AAAAAUUAUCCACGAGCGGAAGAGCCGCCCGAUAGAGUAGUCAAAUUAUCCGGCCGCAGAUAAAGUAUUUCGUUUUUAAAACGAACGUUUUUUUUUUUUUUUUUUUAUAAUUUGUGUAAAACAAUCGCGACUGUCGUGUUUAUUACUUAACGUUUUAGGGUGUUUGGGUUUUUAAAUCACGGAAUUCCCUGUGAAAACUUGACAUUUAAACGGGAAAACGGUUGGUUGAGGGGGGAUA